rnacentral:rRNA from 2 species
UCAGAGUUUGAUUCCUGGCUCAGGAUGAACGCCGGCGGUGUGCCUAAUACAUGCAAGUCGUACGCACUGGCCCAACUGAUUGAUGGUGCUUGCACCUGAUUGACGAUGGAUCACCAGUGAGUGGCGGACGGGUGAGUAACACGUAGGUAACCUGCCCCGGAGCGGGGGAUAACAUUUGGAAACAGAUGCUAAUACCGCAUAACAACAAAAGCCACAUGGCUUUUGUUUGAAAGAUGGCUUUGGCUAUCACUCUGGGAUGGACCUGCGGUGCAUUAGCUAGUUGGUAAGGUAACGGCUUACCAAGGCGAUGAUGCAUAGCCGAGUUGAGAGACUGAUCGGCCACAAUGGAACUGAGACACGGUCCAUACUCCUACGGGAGGCAGCAGUAGGGAAUCUUCCACAAUGGGCGCAAGCCUGAUGGAGCAACACCGCGUGAGUGAAGAAGGGUUUCGGCU